GACGAACGCUGGCGGCGUGCCUAAUACAUGCAAGUCGAACGCAGUGGGGACGGGUGUGUCACAUGUGGGUAACCUCCCAUCAGAGGGGAUAACACUUGGACACAGGCGCUAAACCGAUAUUGCUGGACGGACCUGCGGUGCAUUAGCUGGUUGGGGAGGUAACGGCUCACCAAGGGCAGGAUGCAAAGCCUACCGUAGGGGGUGAUCGGCCACACUGGAACCGAGACACGGCCCAGACUCCUGCGGGAGGCGACAGUAGGGAGUCUUCGGCAAUGGACAAAGGUCUAACCGAGCAACGCCGGGUAAGUGAGGAGGUUGUUCGGAUCGUAAAACUCUGUUGUUAGGGAAACGGUAUCUAACCAGAAAGCCACGGCUAACUACGUGCCAGCAGCCGCGGUAAUUC
rnacentral:rRNA from 1 species